rnacentral:lncRNA from 1 species
ACCGCAUUUUAUGGUUUUAUUAUUAUUAUUAUUAUUGUAGUAAGACAAUUACUUCUUCAAGUAAUUUAAACGGUGAGCAGCCUGGGCGGCCGCCCGACGGAAGGGGGAAGAUUGGCGCGACGGUAAUACAGAUAUACAGGUCGAAGAAUGUAUUGUACACAAUAAAUGUGUAGACAAAGCAAAAAUAGUUAUAUUUAAAUAAGCAUUUUCUCAAAAUUAAAAUUAAUUAAAACUCAUCUUCGAUGGACGAUUUCCCAAGAAAAAUGGAGACAAUCAGCCACCCUCUUCCCGAAAAAUGACUCGGCACACAAUAUAGAUUAUUCCGAUUUAACGAAAACCUUCGAUAAAAAAGCCGGUAAAAUCGAUUUUCAAUUAAAAUGUAAAUACGGUGUAUAAGAUUUGUUAAAACAUCGUAUAACAAAUGUAAAAUAUUGUUUUUAAAAUAAAAGUUUUCUAAAGCGCCACGUUUUUAUAAAUUUAUUAAUUUUUCAAAACUGACCACUGGAGGGGGCGCCACCAAAAUUUUCGCUGGGGACGCUAAAAGCUUUACCAUCGGUCCUACCAUCAGUAGCGGAUGGAACGGAAAAGCCCAAAGAAAGAAAGGCGUCGGUCGCUUUUCUUUCCCGCGUCUAGGGGACCCUAUCCUCAUCCGCCGCCUAUACCGGGAGAGUUUAAGCGGGGAUGGCUCGGGGCACGGCCGUCUCGGUCCUUCUAUUAAUAACGGAUGGAACUGGGGACGGAACCCGAGAAGCCGCUAACAUUUGGUAUUUAUCGGGGUUAGCUGACCCAGGGAAAUACCGUAUUUAUUACCUUCAUCGUACUUGGCCGUAAAACUGCUUCGGUUUCCGUAGGUUCCGCCCGCCCCGAUAAUAAUAUAACCUAGAAAUUAGUUUAUUGGGGAAAUAUACGGACGGUAAGUGUUCUCUUCCUGGGAAUGGGGUCUAGCCGCGGGUAAAAUGGGAGAAACGCGGCUCGGCCGCCCGAUUUGUCGAGCGACAACCGGCGGCCGAAGCCUAAAGGUUAAAGCCCUCUCCAGUCUAUCCAGCCGCCGACCCUGGGUCCGGUCAUUUUACCGCCCUUUCACCUACUGGCUGACCGGUAAGUCCCGAUGAGAAGCCGUAGGAAAUGGCGUUAAAUGUUUGGUCCGAAGAGUUAGCUAUCGUUCGGGCGGGAAAAAUUAAGAAAGGGAAAAAGGCGAAAGGAGGGAUCCGAGUUUAAUGGGCAGAAUAUUGUUUUCAUUUAGUAGAUGACGGAGAUAAAAAUUUGAAAAAUAUUUUCUAAUCAUUCGAGUGGCUUAAUUAAUUUCGCUUUGUAUAUAUUUAUGUAGAUGAAUAGUACUAAUUAAUUUAUAAACAUCCUCUUUCACAAUUCCGCCUAGGUUUUCUUUCGUCUAUUAAACUUUUCAAAAAAUAACAGCCAACACGGAAGGAUAUUCGCACCGUGGAUACGGAUCCUCGCGAGUGGGACCACGCUCCCAUCGAAUAUUCUUUCCGGUCGACCAGAACCGGACUCAGGCCCGGUUACCCUCCAUCUAGAAAUAUAUAUAUUUGAGAGCGCAGCCAGAUCCAACCGUCGGCGGUUGCCUACAGAGGAUGGGGCCUAACCGCAUCGGACUCACUCCAUUCCAUGACAGUUGGGGAAAUUAUUUUUCCAUUCUAUGGGGCCUCAUCUCGGAUCAACGUCAUCCCGUCCGAAGGAUACAGCCACCGGAAGGGAAACGACGGUGGGACCUCUAUUGGUCCGAACGAUAUAUUAUGAAAAUAUCGGAUAUCAACGGAACUGAAAUUACCACGGAGACGGGCCGGAGGAGGCCGCGCUCCAACCAUCGGCUUAUAACCGCCUAAGUCGAUCGGGCUACCAUCAGCCCUACUUACGUCGGCGGAGGAAUCUUUUCGGACCGGCGUUGGGAACAUCCGUCCCGCCCCACAGCAAUUUUUCUACGGAGCAUCCGUGUCACCCACACGACUCCGGCGGGUACUCGAAUGGCCGCGGAUCUGUAAAGUAUCCGUCACCCAGUUUAGCGGGGAUGAUGGCGUUUGGUAAGAAUUGGACGGCGGAUCCGCUAUCCGUCCGCCACUUCUAAGUGUUUGUAACCACUUUCGAUCGGGUCGGAAACGAAGAUGGAUCGGACCCAGGGCCAUUUCCAGUUAGGCUGUGGAGGAAAGUCGAGAAAAUGUCAAUCGGCCGACUAGCGUUUUGUCCGAGCUGGCGGUCGGCGGGUGAAAAGGACUGGGCCCGGACUCCGUCUCUUUUUCCCCAAACUCUAGAAGAGGACGGUAAAUCCCAUCCAGCCCAGUCACCGUUUCGGUGUCCGCGGUUGUGAUCUUUCUUUGGCUGUUCCUAUUAAUCCGGCGGCAGGUGGCCCACUUGGUGGGGGAGGAGUGGAAUUAUCCGGGGCCCCGACCCGUUUCGUCCACCACGGACAGGGGCGGCCGCCAACCAACUAGCCCCACCGAAAAGUGAUCUUUCCAUUAGGUCAGGUGGCGCUAAUUAUAGAUAAAAAUAGGCUGGGGCCUUCUAUCCGUCCAGAUAAAACCGAUACCGACCGUCUACCACCCGCGGCCGUUUAUCUCUUUCCGCCGAAGGAAAUGCGAAUAAACGGGGGACGAGUUAUCCUGCCCACCGACUUUUAUCGCCAUUUUCUCUCUCUGUACUAAAAAAGUAACUUUUAUGUAACCGUCUUCUGUCUGGUAGCCGCCUCUUUUCCAUCAGUUUGACGUCCGUCACCCCGAUCCAGCCACCUUCCACUCGGGGUUUUAUUUCCAGAUUUUGGCUGGGCCGCCCCCUUUCCCUUCCGCUUUCGGUGGCCGUCGGAAGAAUAGGUUGGCUGCGACUCGGGCUAAAGAUGGUAACGGGCCAAGAAGAGCCUCGGCCUUUAACGUCUGCGAUUAUUUUCUUUUAAAACGUUUACCUCCGCCGGUUAAUACCGAUCGGCCCGGGGCGCCCAUCGACCGUGGUCCAGCCGGUGAGGGAGCGGCGGAUGGCACCGGGUAGGGUGGAAGUGGUCGAGUGGCAACCCGCCCGGACAAAUUUUAUUCGGCUGGGGAUGGGGUCGGAGGACCGUCCGCCGGCGCUGGACCGGGUGGUGGUGGGUAGAGCGGCGCUAAAUAGACGGCGAGACCGAAAGCCGGAUAAAACCGAGAAAGAAGAAAACCCAGGAAGGGAGAAGGCUAAUUUACCUCUAACCGCCGAGAAUAAGAGGGAGGAAGAGGCGGUGGAAGAACGUUCCGUACGGGCCACGGUGAGACCGACGCACCCUUUAUCGGCCGCUGGCCAGACCCCAACCACCAGAAAGAUAUAAAGGCGGUGAUUCCGAAUGACCCACAGCUUACCUUUUAAACCGGCUAAUUCCCUGCUAUUAGAGAGUUGGCGGUAAACCUUUUUCCACGCAGUAUACUAUCCGAUACAGUACCGAAAUUUAUAUGGCAAAGUAAUGGCGAUAGAAGUUAUAGUGUGUAUUACGCAGAGGGCGCUGCAGAAUAUAAACAACGCGUUACUGAUAGAAAAGGAAGAAUACAUUUCUGGCAUUAAGCGCUACCGAGAAAGUCAAAAUUAUCUGAAGCGUAUAGAUCGGAAGAGCG